rnacentral:rRNA from 1 species
GACAGCAGUAGCCGCGGGAAUACGUAGGGUGCAAGCGUUAAUCGGAAUUACUGGGCGUAAAGCGUGCGCAGGCGGUUAUGUAAGACAGUUGUGAAAUCCCCGGGCUCAACCUGGGAACUGCAUCUGUGACUGCAUAGCUAGAGUACGGUAGAGGGGGAUGGAAUUCCGCGUGUAGCAGUGAAAUGCGUAGAUAUGCGGAGGAACACCGAUGGCGAAGGCAAUCCCCUGGACCUGUACUGACGCUCAUGCACGAAAGCGUGGGGAGCAAACAGGAUUAGAUACCCGAGUAGUCCCUGUCUCUUAUAC